rnacentral:rRNA from 1 species
UCAAGCGAACAAGUGCAUGUGGUGGAUGCCUUGGCGAUCACAGGCGAUGAAGGACGCGGUAGCCUGCGAAAAGCUACGGGGAGCUGGCAAACGAGCUUUGAUCCGUAGAUGUCCGAAUGGGGAAACCCGGCCCUUUUGGGUCAUCCUGGACUGAAUACAUAGGUCCAGUGAAGCGAACGCGGUGAACUGAAACAUCUAAGUAACCGCAGGAAAAGAAAUCAACCGAGAUUCCCAAAGUAGUGGCGAGCGAAAUGGGAUGAGCCUUGCACUCUUUAUUUGUAUUGUUAGCCGAACGCUCUGGAAAGUGCGGCCAUAGCAGGUGAUAGCCCUGUAGGCGAAAACAGUAUGAAAGAACUAGGUGUGCGACAAGUAGGGCGGGACACGUGAAAUCCUGUCUGAAGAUGGGGGGACCAUCCUCCAAGGCUAAAUACUCGUGAUCGACCGAUAGUGAACCAGUACCGUGAGGGAAAGGCGAAAAGAACCCCGGGAGGGGAGUGAAAUAGAUCCUGAAACCGCAUGCAUACAAACAGUCGGAGCCUCGCAAGGGGUGACGGCGUACCUUUUGUAUAAUGGGUCAGCGACUUACGUUCAGUAGCAAGCUUAACCGUAUAGGGCAGGCGUAGCGAAAGCGAGUCCGAAUAGGGCGUUCAGUUGCUGGGCGUAGACCCGAAACCAGGUGAUCUAUCCAUGGCCAGGAUGAAGGUGCGGUAACACGUACUGGAGGUCCGAACCCACUAACGUUGAAAAGUUAGGGGAUGAGCUGUGGAUAGGGGUGAAAGGCUAAACAAACCUGGAAAUAGCUGGUUCUCUCCGAAAACUAUUUAGGUAGUGCCUCGUGUCUCACCUUCGGGGGUAGAGCACUGUCAUGGUUGGGGGGUCUAUUGCAGAUUACCCCGCCAUAGCAAACUCCGAAUACCGAAGAGUGCAAUCACGGGAGACAGACAUCGGGUGCUAACGUCCGGUGUCAAGAGGGAAACAACCCAGACCGCCAGCUAAGGUCCCCAAAUAUAGCUAAGUGGGAAACGAAGUGGGAAGGCUAAAACAGUCAGGAGGUUGGCUUAGAAGCAGCCACCCUUUAAAGAAAGCGUAAUAGCUCACUGAUCGAGUCGUCCUGCGCGGAAGAUGUAACGGGGCUAAGCUAUAUACCGAAGCUGCGGAUGCGAGCUUGCUCGCAUGGUAGGAGAGCGUUCCGUAAGCCUGCGAAGGUGCCUUGUAAAGGGUGCUGGAGGUAUCGGAAGUGCGAAUGCUGACAUGAGUAGCGAUAAAGGGGGUGAAAGGCCCCCUCGCCGUAAGCCCAAGGUUUCCUACGCAACGUUCAUCGGCGUAGGGUGAGUCGGCCCCUAAGGCGAGGCAGAAAUGCGUAGCUGAUGGGAAGCAGGUCAAUAUUCCUGCACCAUUGUUAGAUGCGAUGGGGGGACGGAUCGCGGAAGGUUGUCCGGGUGUUGGAAGUCCCGGUCGCUGCAUUGGAGAAGGCGCUUAGGCAAAUCCGGGCGCGCAAUUCAAGGGUGUGGCGCGAGCUCCUUAGGGAGCGAAGCAAUUGGAAGUGGUUCCAAGAAAAGCCUCUAAGCUUCAGUCUAACGAUGACCGUACCGCAAACCGACACAGGUGGGCGAGAUGAGUAUUCUAAGGCGCUUGAGAGAACUCGGGAGAAGGAACUCGGCAAAUUGGUACCGUAACUUCGGGAUAAGGUACGCCCUUGUAGCUUGACUGGCCUGCGCCAGGAGGGUGAAGGGGUUGCAAUAAACUGGUGGCUGCGACUGUUUAAUAAAAACACAGCACUCUGCAAACACGAAAGUGGACGUAUAGGGUGUGACGCCUGCCCGGUGCCGGAAGAUUAAAUGAUGGGGUGCAAGCUCUUGAUUGAAGUCCCGGUAAACGGCGGCCGUAACUAUAACGGUCCUAAGGUAGCGAAAUUCCUUGUCGGGUAAGUUCCGACCUGCACGAAUGGCGUAACGAUGGCCACACUGUCUCCUCCCGAGACUCAGCGAAGUUGAAGUGUUUGUGAUGAUGCAAUCUACCCGCGGCUAGACGGAAAGACCCCAUGAACCUUUACUGUAGCUUUGCAUUGGACUUUGAACCGAUCUGUGUAGGAUAGGUGGGAGGCUAUGAAACCGGAACGCUAGUUUCGGUGGAGCCGUCCUUGAAAUACCACCCUGGUUUGUUUGAGGUUCUAACCUUGGCCCGUGAUCCGGGUCGGGGACAGUGCAUGGUAGGCAGUUUGACUGGGGCGGUCUCCUCCCAAAGCGUAACGGAGGAGUACGAAGGUACGCUAGGUACGGUCGGAAAUCGUGCUGAUAGUGCAAUGGCAUAAGCGUGCUUAACUGCGAGACCGACAAGUCGAGCAGGUGCGAAAGCAGGUCAUAGUGAUCCGGUGGUUCUGUAUGGAAGGGCCAUCGCUCAACGGAUAAAAGGUACUCUGGGGAUAACAGGCUGAUACCGCCCAAGAGUUCAUAUCGACGGCGGUGUUUGGCACCUCGAUGUCGGCUCAUCUCAUCCUGGGGCUGUAGCCGGUCCCAAGGGUAUGGCUGUUCGCCAUUUAAAGAGGUACGUGAGCUGGGUUUAAAACGUCGUGAGACAGUUUGGUCCCUAUCUGCCGUGGGCGUUGGAUAUUUGAAGGGGGCUGCUCCUAGUACGAGAGGACCGGAGUGGACGAACCUCUGGUGUACCGGUUGUCACGCCAGUGGCAUCGCCGGGUAGCUAUGUUCGGAAGAGAUAACCGCUGAAAGCAUCUAAGCGGGAAACUCGCCUUAAGAUGAGAUAUCCCUGGGGACUAGAUCCCCUUGCACGGUCGUUCGCGCCCCGGACGUUGAUAGGUCCGCUGUGUAACCGCCGUACUGCCUUCAGCUAACUGAUACUAAUUGCCCGUAAGGCUUGAUCC